rnacentral:rRNA from 1 species
GAUGAACGCUGGCGGCGUGCUUAACACAUGCAAGUCGAGCGAGUGAGUUCUUCGGAACGAUCUAGCGGCGGACGGGUGAGUAACACGUGGGCAACCUGCCCCAUAGAGGGGAAUAGCCUUCCGAAAGGAAGAUUAAUACCGCAUAACAUCGUUGAAGGGCAUCCUUCGAUGAUCAAAGGAGCAAUCCGCUAUGAGAUGGGCCCGCGGCGCAUUAGCUAGUUGGUGAGGUAACGGCUCACCAAGGCGACGAUGCGUAGCCGACCUGAGAGGGUGAUCGGCCACAUUGGGACUGAGACACGGCCCAGACUCCUACGGGAGGCAGCAGUGGGGAAUAUUGCACAAUGGGGGAAACCCUGAUGCAGCAACGCCGCGUGAGUGAUGACGGCCUUCGGGCUGUAAAGCUCUGUCUUUGGGGACGAUAAUGACGGUACCCAAGGAGGAAGUCACGGCUAACUACGUGCCAGCCGCCGCCGUAAUAC